CAAAUCAAAAAACAAAGGAACACUCAACCUUCGAAACAAUUGACAUCAUGUGCGCGACAAGAAUGCCUGUUUUCAAGUGUAAGAUUGCAUGGAUAGAGAAUCACUUGACUCCUGAGAAGAUGGUUGAACCUGUCCCUCCCUCCUCCUACAAGGGCGUCAAACCGGUUUCUGGCUGCUAACCUGAAACAAUCUAAUCAGGAGGAACGGACAGGUCCCUAGCUCUUGAUAAUUAAAAUAGUAGCUAUGCCGGGACGGAAGUUUAUUCGCCUGAAGUCUGGAACGAGAAUGAUCCCGGAAGGGUGGGCGAUAACCGCCCAACAUGUUACACCCGUCAGAUCAACUUUUGGGCCUUUUUGAUUGCUUUUGAACGCUCCCUUUGUAUGCCCCAUGCAUGUACAUGUUCUCAACAUGCACCAAUUUGACAUCUGUUGUUACACGUUACAGAGUCAACAAUGUGCUGUACAGCGUUGCAAGUGCUGGUAUUGCUGGAAAGUUGACACGUUUACAUAGCUCCCUGCUUUCAAGCUUCAGUACUCUCAAGUUACAACUGUUAGUUAGAUAAAAUUAUUACAUAGUAGAUAUCCUUUAUGCCAGCCAGCGGGG
rnacentral:sRNA from 1 species